rnacentral:lncRNA from 1 species
AACUAAAAGUUUUUCAGCCUGUAAAUCAAUUAGGGCUGUUUGGUUCGUCCGAAAAGCGUAAAAAUUAAUUUUUCGAGAAAAAAAAAUUUAUUAAAAUAUUUUAAAAUUUUUUUGUCUGUUUGGUAUUACGCCCCCGAUUACUCGUUUUUUCGAACACGCCGAUAAAUCCGCCGUAUACAAAGAAAUUUUUUCUGUAUAUGAAGCGAUAGCUGUACCUGUACCUAUAAUCAUAUAAAACUACAACUAGUAGUAUAGAGCUACUAAUAGAACGAUAAAUAUAUAUAAAUAACAUCGGGUUCACUAUACAUAUAUAGUCUCCAAAUACAACAUCACUCGCUCCAGCGAGGAUCAAACAUCAGUAUGUACAUGACCCAAAAAUCCAAAACUACCUAUAGCUGGUACCCCUCUAAAGCAGCAACAAAACUGGAAGGGAUCUAGCUCGCGACUCCCUUUUCACGAUCAGAAUCAGCAACAGCAGCAGCCGAAGAAGAUGUCUUUGCAAAAAGGUGCUAACAACUGCGUGUGAGAACUACUACAAAAAAAAGUAAUCCUUAGUGGGUACCACUACCGAGCUCAACGGCUCACCCACUAAAUCUACAGAAGUAUACUCAAGGAUAGUAAAAAAAAAGCUGGAACAAUUCUACAGCUAUAUGCCACUACACUAUCACGAUCCAAAACUAACUAUCUGUAGAUAAAUAUGCAAUCUCUGAUCCAAUCUCACUAAGGACUGUGAGCACACCCGUCCCGCCUGUCGAAACUACACUAACUAUCACCACGUUGGGUCGUCAGUGAAGAGCGAGUCCAAUCAGGACACAACGACAAUAAUGCAAAAGUACAAAGCCUGACUCCGGAGUGGGACUAGUGGGCUCUACCCAACUGAAAAUGCAAGCGUAUUUCUGCCGAGCUCAAUCAGGCUCUCACAGGUUAUAGUCAAAAUAGAAGGGUCUAACUGGUCUAACAACCAUAACUCACAUGCCUACGGCACAAUCUGAUGCAAAAUAUAUAAAUCUGGGUCCACCGGCAACCGCGACAGCAUCCGACAGUCCGGAACAGUCUAUACACUACUGUAAAAAUAAAUUUGGUAUCUCAGCACGAGCGUAAUUUCAUUCUACACUAUUCUGUAUAUCCACCGCGUACAAACUGCGGCGAUAUAAACCAACUACAGCUCCUAAAGCUAAAUCUGUUAGUUUUCAGAAAAUGACAAUAUAGAACCUAUAGUUUUCUAUUAAGUCAAAUCCAAAUCCAACAUGUAUAAUAAAACUAGCAUUUAAAGCUCCAAUUCAGAUUUCAUUUAAGAACAAUGCAAAUCGACGAAUCGAGCUACUAAACAUGAUAUACGAAAUCAAAAAUACAU